GGAGGCGUCGCCUAGUUGGUCUAUGGCGCUCGCUUGGAAAGCGGGUUGGGUGCAAGCCCUCGCGGGUUCGAAUCCCGCCGCCUCCGCCA
rnacentral:tRNA from 1 species